GGGUUGUGAGGUUAAGCGACUAAGCGUACACGGUGGAUGCCCUGGCAGUCAGAGGCGAUGAAGGACGUGCUAAUCUGCGAUAAGCGCCGGUAAGGUGAUAUGAACCGUUAUAACCGGCGAUUUCCGAAUGGGGAAACCCAGUGUGAUUCGUCACACUAUCAUUAACUGAAUCCAUAGGUUAAUGAGGCGAACCGGGGGAACUGAAACAUCUAAGUACCCCGAGGAAAAGAAAUCAACCGAGAUUCCCCCAGUAGCGGCGAGCGAACGGGGAGGAGCCCAGAGCCUGAAUCAGCAUGUGUGUUAGUGGAAGCGUCUGGAAAGGCGCGCGAUACAGGGUGACAGCCCCGUACACAAAAGCGCAUGUGCUGUGAGCUCGAUGAGUAGGGCGGGACACGUGGUAUCCUGUCUGAAUAUGGGGGGACCAUCCUCCAAGGCUAAAUACUCCUGACUGACCGAUAGUGAACCAGUACCGUGAGGGAAAGGCGAAAAGAACCCCGGCGAGGGGAGUGAAAAAGAACCUGAAACCGUGUACGUACAAGCAGUGGGAGCCCCACCACUAAGCCAGUGGUGAACUCCACAUACGCAUCCUUUGCUGAGGAUACGGUUAACGGAGCGAAAGCGACGUUCAACCUCAAAAGAAGCAGAGGGGGCUUAGUGGUGGGGUGACUGCGUACCUUUUGUAUAAUGGGUCAGCGACUUAUAUUCUGUAGCA
rnacentral:rRNA from 1 species